UUUGCUUCUCGGCCUUUUGGCUAAGAUCAAGUGUAGUAUCUGUUCUUAUCAGUUUAAUAUCUGAUACAUCCCCUAUCUGGGAACCAUAUAUUAAAUGGAUGUCUGGAGCUGGAGCUGGGGCUCGCUCCGGCCACUCCGCACAUCCACCUGGUAUUGCAGUGUCUCCAGGCUCGGGGCACCUCCC